rnacentral:rRNA from 1 species
GACGAACCGUGCGAACGUUGUUCGGAAUCACUGGGCUUAAAGGGCGCGUAGGCGGUCUGCCAAGUCCGGGGUGAAAGCCCCCAGCUCAACUGGGGAAGUGCCUUGGAUACUGGCGGACUCGAGGGAGGCAGGGGUUGUGGGAACUUCCAGUGGAGCGGUGAAAUGCGUUGAUAUUGGAAGGAACGCCGGAGGCGAAAGCGGCGCACUGGAUCUCUUCUGACGCUGAGGCGCGAAAGCUAGGGGAGCAAACGGG